rnacentral:lncRNA from 1 species
GGGUUCAUAUUACAUUAUAAGACUAGUAAUCAUUACAUGAAGAGCAUAAUUGUCGUAAACAAUGCCAAAUCAGACAGAUCCUAUUGAACUUGUUUUUGGAGAAGCUAUAAGAAGUUGGGUAAUGAGAAUCAAGAUCAAGAUUUCGAUUCUCACUACCCAACUUCAAACCAGAAUCACCAAGACUAACCUCAGUUAACGUGACUUCUUGACAUGCCUUUACCCCAAACGGGCCAAAUCUCAUUGGCAUCAAACCAAUUGGGAAACACAAGUUCGAGUUAUUCCAAGCCCCAAAUCGCCUUCCCAUUUUAACAUAAAACCCUAGAGUUAAUUUGAGCUCUCCCGUAAGGUUGUUUCCAUAUACAUAUAACGAACUCAAAUGGGGUAGUUCGGCCAAUUUUGGUGUAAGAUUUCCCGAGAGAUUAUUGCAACUAAGACCCAAAAAUCUUAGCCUUUUCAUCUGAGAAAAGGAUUCCGGGACCCCACCCGUCAACCGUGUGCUUGAAAGAUCCAAAACCUCAAGCCCUUGAAGAUUUUGCCACCCAAUAUUCAUGAGAUCACCACCUAUAGGGUUUCUUGACAAAACCAACUCUUGUAAUGAACUCAUUUCUUGUAUUGACUUAGUCAACCCAC